AAAGGGAGAUUAAUACCGCAUAAAGCCAAGUUUCACAUGGAAUUUGGAUGAAAGGAGUAAUUCGCUUUGAGAUGGACCCGCGGCGCAUUAGUUAGUUGGUGGGGUAAUGGCCUACCAAGACAGCGAUGCGUAGCCGACCUGAGGGGGUGAUCGGCCACAUUGGAACUGAGAUACGGUCCAGACUCCUACGGGAGGCAGCAGUGGGGAAUAUUGCACAAUGGGCGAAAGCCUGAUGCUGCAACGCCGCGUGAGUGAUGAAGGUCUUCGGAUUGUAAAGCUCUGUCUUUUGGGACGAUAAUGACGGUACCAAAGGAGGAAGCCACGGCUAACUACGUGCCAGCAGCCGCGGUAAUACGUAGGUGGCGAGCGUUGCCCGGAUUUACUGGGCGUAAAGGGUGCGUAGGCGGAUGUUUAAGUGAGAUGUGAAAUACCCGGGCUUAACUUGGGUGCUGCAUUUCAAACUGGGUAUCUAGAGUGCAGGAGAGGAGAAUGGAAUUCCUAGUGUAGCGGUGAAAUGCGUAGAGAUUAGGAAGAACACCAGUGGCGAAGGCGAUUCUCUGGACUGUAACUGACGCUGAGGCACGAAAGCGUGGGUAGCAAACAGGAUUAGAUACCCUGGUAGUCCACGCCGUAAACGAUGAGUACUAGGUGUAGGAGGUAUCGACCCCUUCUGUGCCGCAGUAAACACAUUAAGUACUCCGCCUGGGAAGUACGAUCGCAAGAUUAAAACUCAAAGGAAUUGACGGGGGCCCGCACAAGCAGCGGAGCAUGUGGUUUAAUUCGAAGCAACGCGAAGAACCUUACCUGGACUUGACAUCCCCUG
rnacentral:rRNA from 1 species